GACGAACGCUGGCGGCGUGCUUAACACAUGCAAGUCGAGCGGUAAGGCCCUUUCGGGGGUACACGAGCGGCGAACGGGUGAGUAACACGUGGGUGACCUGCCCUUAGCUCUGGGAUAAGCCUGGGAAACUGGGUCGUAAUACCGGAUAUGACUCCAUGACGCAUGUUGUGGGGUGGAAAGCCUUGUGCGGCUAGGGAUGGGCCUGCGGGCCUAUCAGCUUGUUGGUGGGGUGANGGGCCUACCAAGGCGACGACGGGUAGCCGGCCUGAGAGGGCGACCGGCACACUGGGACUGAGACACGGCCCAGACUCCUACGGGAGGCAGCGA
rnacentral:rRNA from 1 species